GGGAGAGGUAGGCUAGUAUAAGAGAUUUAAGAAGAGGAAGGGAGCCAGUGGAGGAUAUAAUAUGAUAAUAUGAUAAGGGCCAUCAAAUUCCUUUGACCGCCUCUUUAUAAACCCCAGCACACCCAUGGCUUUUUUUACCAUCGUAAAAAUGUGUUCAGAAAACUUUCACUUGCACAACACCAUGACUGAUCUGAUUGCAUGCGAGAGUGAAAUUAAAUGUCCUUAUACUGGACACAGAGCUUAACAUCAUCCGCAGAGGGCAGAUAAUGAUAAUGAGUGUAAAAAGUAGGGGGCCUAGAUGGCUACUCUGUGGUACUCCAGAAGUAACCAUAACAGGUAAAGAUAAGAAGUUUUUGAAGAGGACUCUUUGAGACCUGGACCACAGGUAGCUAGAAAUCCAUCUCAAACGAUUGGUCGGAAACCCUAGAAGGCCAAACUUUUGUGAAAGAAGACAAUGAUUUACAGAAUCGAAUGACUUACUAAAGUCAGUGUAAAUAACAUCCGUCUGCAAGUUACCUUGGAAGCCUUUAAUGAUAAAGGAGGUGAACUCUAAAUGAUUAGUGGUUCUUGAUCGUCGCAGUAUAAAUCCGUGCUGCUAUUUUAGGAAUAACGGAUAACUUAGAUAUAUCUCUAUAGUUCUUGCUAUCUUUCUUAUGGAGAGGAAGUAUAAAGGAUUCCUUGCAGAUAAAGGGAAAGUUAGAAGAAUGAAUGGAUAGAGUGAAUAAUUUAAGCAAAGGUCCGCACAGAGACUCGGCGCAGUACCUGAGUACACAGCCGGGAACUCCGGCAGGGCCCGGUGAAUAUACCGGCUUAACUAAUCGAAGAUCAUGAAGUAAGUAGCCUUCAUUAAACAAAGGGCAGAAAAUGCCAUUCGACCUUGGUAAACUAUAUGGAUACAUGGGAAUAGGUGGUUUCAAAAAAUUGUGCAAAGAGAUCGGCGAUUGCCUGAUCAUUGUUCGCCGACAUAUUCAAAAAUGAAAGCGAGGAUGGAUGUGCGGACGUUCUACGCUUACUGCUUACAAAGCUGUAAAACUGUUUAGGGUCCUAUGAAAAACGUAUCCUGCAUCGAAGGAGGUAGUUCCUAUAGCAUUGAGCAUUAAGAACAGUAAAAUUUGACCGAGCUAUUAAGUAAUUAGAAAGAGAAGAGGGAGAACCAACUUCUUGAGAUUUUUUAAAUAGUCUUGAUUUUAGAUUUUUUAGACUUCUUUGGUGAACCAAGGAGGUUUCGCAGAUCUAGUCGGACAUGAGAGUGGGACACACGUGUCAAAAAUUGUGUCAAGUACAUUGUAAAACAUGUUUUGUGCCUUCAAAGACGUCAGUGCACGAGGACAGAGCGGACCAAUCAAAAUCCCUAAUUAAGUUAUUGAGCUUCGUACACUCGGCUUUACCCGUACGAUCCGAUACAGUAGGUCCAAUAUCUACCGACACUUCGAAAGUAGGAUGAUAGCAGUCUUCAGGUAUAGUGAGCGGGAGUGCUCGUGUUAACAACGCUACGGUCGGAUCCGAGGCAAAGCACAGAUCAAGCAAUCGACCCAAGGAGUUUUUUACAUGGUUGACUUGAGACAGGGACAGGUCUAAUAGGCCAUCAAUAAAAUCAUGUUGGGACAUGGGCACAAGGUUAAUAGACUCGUUAACCGAAGACCAGACAGUACCUGGCAGGUUGAAAUCCCCAAGAACUAUUAAAUGGUGUCUAUCAGAUAGCGAGGAAGAAACAGUUUUUAAGGCGGACAAGUGCGGCUCGUAUAUUAAUACAUCCUAAGUCGGUGGAAUAUACGACCAAGUGACAUAAAUAGACAGGCCGGGAAGAAUCAGUCUAACACAGAGGAAUUCCAGGUCUUGUGAGACCUAGACUAUGAAAAGUUCCGACGUAAAGUAAGAGUUUACUGCAAUCAAAACCCCUCCUCCACGUCGGGACGAACGAUCAUUCCUAUAAAUUGUGUACAGAUCUGCCAAAACUUCGGAACUAAG
rnacentral:lncRNA from 1 species